rnacentral:rRNA from 1 species
UACGUAGGGGGCAAGCGUUGUCCGGAUUUAUUGGGCGUAAAGAGCUCGUAGGUGGUUCGGUAAGUCGGAUGUGAAAUCUCCAGGCUCAACCAUGGAAUUGCAUUUGAAACUGGAAGUCUUGAAUGUGGGAGAGAUUGGUAGAAUACCUAGUGUAGUGGUGAAAUACGUAGAUAUUAGGUGGAAUACCGGUGGCGAAGGCGGCCAAUUGGCCCAACAUUGACGCUGAGAUACGAAAGCGUGGGGAUCAAACAGG